UUGCACGCUGGCGGCAUGCCUUACCCCUGCAAGUCGAACGGUAACGGGCCUUCGGGUGCCGACGAGUGGCGAACGGGUGAGUAAUACAUCGGAACGUGCCCGAUCGUGGGGGAUAACGAGGCGAAAGCUUUGCUAAUACCGCAUACGAUCUACGGAUGAAAGCAGGGGACCGCAAGGCCUUGCGCGGACGGAGCGGCCGAUGGCAGAUUAGGUAGUUGGUGGGAUAAAAGCUUACCAAGCCGACGAUCUGUAGCUGGUCUGAGAGGAUGAUCAGCCACACUGGGACUGAGACACGGCCCAGACUCCUACGGGAGGCAGCAGUGGGGAAUUUUGGACAAUGGGCGCAAGCCUGAUCCAGCCAUGCCGCGUGCAGGAUGAAGGCCUUCGGGUUGUAAACUGCUUUUGUACGGAACGAAAAGCCUUCUUUUAAUACAGGAGGGUCAUGACGGUACCGUAAGAAUAAGCACCGGCUAACUACGUG
rnacentral:rRNA from 1 species